UACGGAGGGGGUUAGCGUUGUUCGGAAUGACUGGGCGUAAAGCGCGCGUAGGCGGACCAUCAAGUCGGGGGUGAAAUCCCGGGGCUCAACCCCGGAAUGGCCUUCGAGACUGGUGGUCUUGAGUUCGAGAGAGGUGAGUGGAAUUCCGAGUGUAGAGGUGAAAUUCGUAGAUAUUCGGAGGAACACCAGUGGCGAAGGCGGCUUACUGGCUCGACACUGACGCUGAGGUGCGAAAGCGUGGGGAGCAAACAGG
rnacentral:rRNA from 1 species